rnacentral:rRNA from 1 species
GACGAACGCUGGCGGCGUGCCUAUACAUGCAAGUAGAACGCACAGUUUAUACCGUAGCUUGCUACACCAUAGACUGUGAGUUGCGAACGGGUGAGUAACGCGUAGGUAACCUGCCUGGUAGCGGGGGAUAACUAUUGGAAACGAUAGCUAAUACCGCAUAAUAUUAAUUAUUGCAUGAUAAUUAAUUGAAAGGUGCAAUUGCACCACUACCAGAUGGACCUGCGUUGUAUUAGCUAGUAGGUGAGGUAACGGCUCGCCUAGGCGACGAUACAUAGCCGACCUGAGAGGGUGAUCGGCCACACUGGGACUGAGGCACGGCCCAGACUCCUACGGGAGGCAGCAGUAGGGAAUCUUCGGCAAUGGACGAAAGUCUGACCGAGCAACGCCGCGUGAGUGAAGAAGGUUUUCGGAUCGUAAAGCUCUGUUGUAAGAGAAGAACGGGUGUGAGAGUGGAAAGUUCACACUGUGACGGUAUCUUACCAGAAAGGGACGGCUAACUACGUGC